GUCGAGAGCUAGGAGCCGUGUCAACAUCAGCGAGGCUUUUCAGCAGUGGAGAGACCUCCGAGAGGUAAAAGGCUUGAAGACAGAUGCAAAAGUUGUGCUUUUUCCCCUCGAUAGCCAAACCAUACCUGGUCUCCUCUCACACCUCACCCUCGAGAUGGUCAAACAAAAAGAAUGCUUGGUCAGUGGUGGAAAGAUGAAGAGCCCACGUACACACCUGAGCCUCCUCCACCCACUCGUUAAUGUCAGUACCUGACCAGUUACAAAAUUUUGGACACUUUCUGUCCCUAGGGACAAAACGGUCAACUUGAGAUGAACUGGCACCAACCAGCAGAGGAUUUACAGAUGCAGUGACAUGGAGACAAGAUGGAUUAAUACUCAAACCAGGCUGUACAACAGGUCACUCAACCACUUACCACUAAAGGGUAAAACAUAAGGGAGGGCCAGGAUGUCCACAGGAAUUGGAUGAAUCGUCUCACCUACCGUAAUGGAAGGUCGCUGCGGUCUUGCUCCUAUCAACAGAAUAGCAAACAAAAACCUCCCAAAACAAUGGUUUGUCUGUACAAUGAAAAAAAAAAAAAAAAAAAAAAAAAAAGCCCAUGUCUCUGCCCUAAACCAGUAGGAACAUCCUGCCGACUACACCAGAUUGUGGCGGCGUGCUGGGGGUGCUAAGGUAAGUUAGGAGGAUACUCGACAAUGCCACCCUGGGAAUAAUUUGCUAGAAGCGAAGAACUAGCACAAGGACAAACAGGUUCGCUCCCAAAUGAGGGCAAGAGACGUGGGUGCAAAAUACAAACAGAACACCUCAUUUUUCACAAUACCAAAAGUACAUUAAAAUGCAAAACCCUUUAAAAUCAGUUUCCCACCAUCCACGUGAGGAUACUUCCACACCUCAGACUAAAAUCUCAUAAGAGUCCAGAAUGAGGAAUACAUGUAAAUAUCCAUGUAAAAGCAGGCACUCUGACAAGAGAUGUAAUUAAACAAAAACAAGGAGCUGAGGCUUACCGGCAGAAAAGGACAGAUACAGGUGGACUUAUAACACACACAAAGGUGAUAAACACUACAUGCAAUGAGAAAACAAGCCGCCACCACUAGGGGGAGGUAAAACCUUUCUGCCCGGGGUCCUCAGCACCUAAAAAAAAAAAAAAAAAAAAAACUGAAACACAAGAUCUAAACACCAAACAAAAGACAAAAGGCUUAAAAAAAAUGCAAUCCUUCAAGGGUAAGUACUUCAGAGCAUAUAUCCAAAUCGCCGAUUAACUGGAAUACAUGAGGCUACACAUUACUAAACAAAUCAGUCAGCCCCUUAAACAUCACUACCACCGGCAAAUACAGGAAAUAAACCAUAACUGGGGGUUGAGCAGUCGAUGUAAGUGCAGGUGAAAGCACAAGGAAAUGCAAAAUCUAACAAAGAAAACAAACUAUAGCUAAUACUAUAGCAAAGGCUUUUAGCCAAACCGCUAAUGCCAUUACACCAUAGUCAUGUAGCCAAAAAGCUACCACAACAUACCUUAUGCAAGACAGAAGACAAGUGAUAACCAAACAGGGGCAGUACUCACAAUGACGCAUACCCCAAGUGAUGCAGUCCAGCCCCAAAACGGGUGGCCACACAACUGGUGACACACUCACAGGUGACAUGUCUGAGCCUUAUUAUACAUAAGGUACAUGGGUGCUGAUUGGUUAAUUAUAACCAGUCACAUGAUGGGGGUUGACAAAUCUCUUUUAAAGGGAUGUGACAGCCUAUCCUGCUACACUAGUAACGCUUUACAUUUUUGGAUUACUCU